rnacentral:tRNA from 1 species
GGGCCGGUCGUUCAGAUGGUUAGGACGCUGCCCUCACACGGCAGAGGUCGCCGGUUCGAAUAUAAAUAUAUAAAACUUGUCGAAAAUCCGGCCCGGCCCA